UNCAUGACGAUUGUAGAGGCAGCCAAGAGG
rnacentral:piRNA from 1 species